rnacentral:rRNA from 1 species
GUGAGGAAUAUUGGUCAAUGGGGGCAACCCUGAACCAGCCAAGUCGCGUGAAGGAUGAAGGUCUUAUGGAUUGUAAACUUCUUUUAUACAGGAAUAAAUUGGGGGACGUGUCCCCUUUUGCAUGUACUGUAUGAAUAAGGAUCGGCUAACUCCGUGCCAGCAGCCGCGGUAAUACGGAGGAUCCGAGCGUUAUCCGGAUUUAUUGGGUUUAAAGGGUGCGCAGGCGGGAUGUUAAGUCGGCGGUGAAAUUUUGCAGCUCAACUGUAAAAGUGCCUUCGAUACUGGCCUCCUUGAGUGUGGAUGAAGUAGGCGGAAUUUGUGGUGUAGCGGUGAAAUGCUUAGAUAUCACGAGGAACUCCGAUUGCGCAGGCAGCUUACUAAGCCACAACUGACGCUCAUGCACGAAGGCGUGGGGAUCAAACA